GAUUUCAUCUGUAUGCCAUACCAAUGUCUCCAGACUCUUUGGAUAUGAGAACUGUUAGAAAAUAUGUAGGGUUGCAUGUAUAGAUUUCAAAACCUUUUUGAAGUAGCAGUGAAAAUAAUCUAGGUAUUAAACUCUUUAACCCCACAUAUAAUAGAUUUAAUCUAUAUCUAUCCGAGCUCUGGAUCUAAGACAUACAUAUAAUCUGAAAAUAAAAUAAAAAAAAUUAAGAUCAGAUCUCAAUACCUUAUGC
rnacentral:lncRNA from 1 species